CCCAGCAGGCACACAACAUCAUAUGACGUUAAUAUUAGAUUAGAUUUAGGUCGCGACGUCAGGUAACCAAAAUUCAAUGUCAAGCCAACGUCUAAUGACAAUGUUAAAUUGACGUCCAAGACCAACAUCAGCUGACGUUGAUAUUUGGUUGUUUUUUUAGGUUGUGUUAUAAAGUAACCAAAAUCCAACGUCGAGCCAACGUCUCAAGCCAACGUCAUAUUGACAUCAAAUACUGAUAUUUAGUCGUCAGGUAUGACAACCAUAAUCCAACGUUUCCUAGACGUCAUAAUGGCAACGUCCACACAACGUCAAAUUAAAACAUCAUUUGAUGUUGAUCUGUAGUUAGUUUUAGGUUGUGGCAUUAACUAACCAAAAUCCAACGUCGAGCCAACGUCUCAAGCCAACGUCACAUUGACAUCAAAAACUUAUGUUUUGUCGUCAGGUAUGGCAACCAAAAUCCAACAUCUUGUAGACGUCAUUAUGGUAACGUCCGAUCAACGUCAAGUUAUAACAUCAUUUGAUGUUGAUCUGUAGUUAGUUUUAGGUUGUGGCAUUAACUAACCAAAAUCCAACAUCAAGACAACGUCUCAAGCCAACGUCAGAUUGACAUCAAAUACUGAUGUUUAGUCGUCAGGUAUGGCAACCAAAAUCCAAUGUCUUCAAGACGUCAUAAUGGUAACGUCCAAUCAACGUCAAAUUAUAACGUCAUUUGACUUUGAUCUUUAGUUUGUUUUUAGGUUGUGACAUUAACUAACCUAAACCCAACGUCGAGCCAACGUCUCAGGCCAACGUCACAUUGACAUCAAAUACUGAUAUUUAGUCGUCAGGUAUGGCAACCAUAAUCCAACGUUUUCUAGACGUCAUAAUGGCAACGUCCACACAAUGUCAAAUUAUAACAUAAUUUGAUGUUGAUCUGUAGUUAGUUUUAGGUUGUGGCAUUAACUAACCAAAAUCCAGCAUCAAGACAACAUCUCAAGCCAACGUCACAUUGACAUCAAAAACUUAUGUUUUGUGUUUGAUUUUUUUAUCUGUUGGUAUUUGAUAGAAUCCAUGAUGUCAUGUAUCUAAACAAGAUAUCCAGGACCUCCAGCAGAAAUAUAGGCCCAGAAAAUAAAAAAUACAGCAGUAUAUUUCAUUGUACACAUGGGGUACUUUUUUCUCUCUGUGCUCACCAAACCCAUCUUGAGUGUUUGCUGCUAAAAAGCUCAUUUUUUAGUUUCAUCUGAUCAUAGAAGCCAUUCCCAUGUAAAGUUCCAGUCUUGGCUGAUAACUGAAUAUGCUUUAGUUUGUUUUUGAAUGAGCUAGGAGAAUUUUUCUUGUAACCCUCCCAAACAAA
ensembl:lncRNA